rnacentral:misc_RNA from 1 species
UGGAAGUAAAAGUCGUAACAAGGUCUCCGUUGGUGAACCAGCGGAGGGAUCAUUACAGAGUUGCAAAACUCCCACAAACCAUCGCGAAUCUUACCCGUACGGUUGCCUCGGCGCUGGCGGUCCGGAAGGCCCUCGGGCCCCCGGAUCCUCGGGUCUCCCGCUCGCGGGAGGCUGCCCGCCGGAGUGCCGAAACCAAACUCUUGAUAUUUUAUGUUUCUCUGAGUAAACUUUUAAAUAAGUCAAAACUUUCAACAACGGAUCUCUUGGUUCUGGCAUCGAUGAAGAACGCAGCGAAAUGCGAUAAGUAAUGUGAAUUGCAGAAUUCAGUGAAUCAUCGAAUCUUUGAACGCACAUUGCGCUCGCCAGUAUUCUGGCGAGCAUGCCUGUUCGAGCGUCAUUUCAACCAUCAAGCUCUGCUUGCGUUGGGGAUCCGCGUCUGACGCGGUCCCUCAAAAACAGUGGCGGGCUCGCUAGUCACACCGAGCGUAGUAACUCUACAUCGCUAUGGUCGUGCGGCGGGUUCUUGCCGUAAAACCCCCAAUUUCUAAGGUUGACCUCGGAUCAGGUAGGAAUACCCGCUGAACUUAAGCAUAUCAAUAAGCGGAGGAA